GCGAUGUUCAACCGCAAAAGAAGCAGAGGGGGCUUAGUGGUGGGGUGACUGCGUACCUUUUGUAUAAUGGGUCAGCGACUUAUAUUCUGUAGCAAGGUUAACCGAAUAGGGGAGCCGGAGGGAAACCGAGUCUUAAUUGGGCGUUAAGUUGCAGGGUAUAGACCCGAAACCCGGUGAUCUAGCCAUGGGCAGGUUGAAGGUUGGGUAACACUAACUGGAGGACCGAACCGACUAAUGUUGAAAAAUUAGCGGAUGACCUGUGGCUGGGGGUGAAAGGCCAAUCAAACCGGGAGAUAGCUGGUUCUCCCCGAAAGCUAUUUAGGUAGCGCCUCGUGAAUUCAUCUCCGGGGGUAGAGCACUGUUUCGGCUAGGGGGCCAUCCCGGCUUACCAACCCGAUGCAAACUGCGAAUACCGGAGAAUGUUAUCACGGGAGACACACGGCGGGUGCUAACGUCCGUCGUGAAGAGGGAAACAACCCAGACCGCCAGCUAAGGUCCCAAAGUCAUGGUUAAGUGGGAAACGAUGUGGGAAGGCCCAGACAGCCAGGAUGUUGGCUUAGAAGCAGCCAUCAUUUAAAGAAAGCGUAAUAGCUCACUGGUCGAGUCGGCCUGCGCGGAAGAUGUAACGGGGCUAAACCAUGCACCGAAGCUGCGGCAGCGAACGUAUCACCCAAGACAACUUUACGGAGUUAACGAUUGACGGAGCGAAGCGACGUCAAAGCGUUCAUUAAAGUCGAGUUGGCUUAGGGAUACGUUCGUUGGGUAGGGGAGCGUUCUGUAAGCCUGUGAAGGUGGCCUGUGAGGGUUGCUGGAGGUAUCAGAAGUGCGAAUGCUG
rnacentral:rRNA from 1 species